rnacentral:rRNA from 1 species
CCUACGGGAGGCAGCAGUGGGGAAUUUUGGACAAUGGGCGCAAGCCUGAUCCAGCAAUGCCGCGUGAGUGAAGAAGGCCUUCGGGUUGUAAAGCUCUUUUGUCAGGGAAGAAACGGUGGUUCCUAAUACGGACUACUAAUGACGGUACCUGAAGAAUAAGCACCGGCUAACUACGUGCCAGCAGCCGCGGUAAUACGUAGGGUGCAAGCGUUAAUCGGAAUUACUGGGCGUAAAGCGUGCGCAGGCGGUUAUAUAAGUCAGAUGUGAAAUCCCCGGGCUCAACCUGGGAACUGCAUUUGAGACUGUAUGGCUAGAGUGUGUCAGAGGGGGGUAGAAUUCCACGUGUAGCAGUGAAAUGCGUAGAUAUGUGGAGGAAUACCGAUGGCGAAGGCAGCCCCCUGGGAUAACACUGACGCUCAUGCACGAAAGCGUGGGGAGCAAACAGGAUUAGAUACCCUGGUAGUCCACGCCCUAAACGAUGUCUACUAGUUGUCGGGACUUAAUUGUCUUGGUAACGCAGCUAACGCGUGAAGUAGACCGCCUGGGGAGUACGGUCGCAAGAUUAAAACUUAAAUGAAUUGACGG